UACGUAGGGUGCGAGCGUUAAUCGGAAUUACUGGGCGUAAAGCGUGCGCAGGCGGUUCGCUAAGACCGAUGUGAAAUCCCCGGCUUAACCUGGGAACUGCAUUGGUGACUGGCGGGCUAGAGUAUGGCAGAGGGGGGUAGAAUUCCACGUGUAGCAGUGAAAUGCGUAGAGAUGUGGAGGAAUACCGAUGGCGAAGGCAGCCCCCUGGGCCAAUACUGACGCUCAUGCACGAAAGCGUGGGGAGCAAACAGG
rnacentral:rRNA from 1 species